UUGCGCCUACGGGGGGCAGCAGUGAGGAAUAUUGGUCAAUGGCCGGAAGGCUGAACCAGCCAAGCCGCGUGAAGGACGAAGGUGCCAAGCAUUGUAAACUUCUUUUGUCAAGGGACAAAAUCAGGCUCGAGAGCCUGACCGAGGGUACUUGAAGAAAAAGCAUCGGCUAACUCCGUGCCAGCAGCCGCGGUAAUACGGAGGAUGCGAGCGUUAUCCGGAUUUAUUGGGUUUAAAGGGUGCGUAGGCGGCGCUUCAGGUCAGCGGUGAAAUACCGGGGCUCAACCCCGGGGCUGCCGUUGAAACCG
rnacentral:rRNA from 1 species